UUCAUUAGGUGAAUAAAAUACUUUUGACGAACGAUUUAACUGAAAGUGUUUUAUUGGAAGCUGUAGAGAAGAAAAUUGAUUUAAUUGUAUCUUAUCAUCCUCCUAUUUUUAAACCUUUAAAAUCUUUAACGUGUAAAAAUUGGAAAGAAAAUUUGAUAAUUAAAUGCAUACAAUCGUACAUAAGUGUAUAUUCCCCUCAUACAGCUUUUGAUGCCGUUGCAAAAGGUGUAAAUGAUUGGUUGAUUCAGUGCUUUGAUAUGGAUUCUAUUAAGCCAAUUCAUCAAAGUUAUAUGCUGUACUCCAAAUUUUCUCAUCAUGUCAAAAUAACUUUUCCAACAGAUAGUAAUAUUGAAGAAAAACUAAUGUUGAUACAAGAUACAUCAAUGUCUACCCUAAGUGUUAAUGAAGAUAUGAAAACAAUUACGAUCUCUACAAAUAAUUUGUCAUUGAUGAAAAUUGUAGAAAUAUUAUCUCUGUUUCCAGAUGUCUUAAAAACGGUUGAAAUUCAUAAAGUUAAUGAGGUAUGGAAUUCUGAUAAAAUAUUGAUU